rnacentral:lncRNA from 1 species
GGAAAUGCACCAGUCCUCGGGGCACCACGAACAUUUCCCCUGCAGUCAAUACUUUGGAAUAUAACACGUUCUUCGUUGUUACGAACCCAACGUAGAUCUUCCCUUUAAUGACUACUCCGGACUCAGUUGCACGAGGGUGUGAAUGAGGUGGAUUUAGCCCUCCUGGGGCAAAGUCAACUCGAUUCAUCGAGAGACCUUGUGUGUUUAAACCUGGGAAUGAAAGAACGUUCCCCACGGUUGCACUGAAUCCAAAUGCAUUCUUAGUGUUUCCCUCUAUGGUUAGGCCAUCAAAGAAGAAGUCAUUUGAAGUAACUUGAGAAGCAGGUUUGCAAGGAAAACCGUUGAGAGACGUUGAUGUAUCGUUCAGAAUUGCAACACAGAAAUCCUGCAGGGGAUCAGGAUCAGCUGAAUCAGAAGGAAGUGGCAAGACUACUAGAAUAACCAACAAGAACGUCACGCGAAUAGCCAUGGAAUGAUCAAACUUGAUAGAAUAGUGUGUGACAAUGUACCCAAUGGCACAGUAGUUAAAAGGCCUAUUUAUUACUCAAGCCAGCAUUGGUGACAUUUCAUCAGCAAGAAAGCAACAUGCUAAAAUGAUAUCAUAUAUAUACAUAAAGAAAAGAGGUUUAGUUGGACUUUUGACAAUAGAUAAAGUGCAAUGUCUCAACUUCAGGAAAUAGUCAAUCAACUUGUUAGUAAAUUUAACUUGGAGAUUACGACCUCUGUGAAAUAUUCUACUACCAUUUGUCAAAGCUACGAAUCAUUCAACUCGUGGUUCUUCAUCCUAUGGUACAGCAAGUCCAUAGAGACUUCAGUCAAGACUCUGUUAUGGUCCGGGGGCCUCGUAUCUUAAUAGAGUCAAGUGACAGAUAAAGGUCAAGAGAAAGGGCUGACAUGCUUCUGAAUUUGGAGUACACCACAUAUAUAACACCUUAGCAAUGUGAUAGAAUGAUAAACGAGUUUUGCAAGGGCAUACCCCAAAAUACAAAUCUGUUAAGUAGGUUGGGCCAAAGUGAACAAUAUGUGUCAUGGGCUUGAAUCAUAAUACGUCAUGUUGUUAAAAGUUAAUUCUUUCAGUUGAGUUAUCUAAUAGUGAUGUUAAUUUCCAAAUAUAAUAAUUGUCAUUUCUUGAACACUUUAACAGCAACUUUUGACCUUCUAAUUGCUGAAAUAGAUAGGAAAGCUGACUUCUUGGAUCUGUAACAACACACAUUGAUGCCCAAAUGAACAUCAUUGAUGAUUGAUUAGGUCAUUUUAAUUAUUCAUCUGAAUAAAAUUUUAUUCUACAAGGAUUUGUUCCAUAAUUUACAGAGCAACACAUGUAAAUGCUCAAAGAUCAUUUCAACUAAACUAACCCUUUUUCUUUUCUCUUUGGGAUAUUUUUGUUUAAUAUUCAUGACAUUAUCAUCUAAAAUUCAUAGACUGGAAAAAGUCAUGAUAUUGAUUAUGAAUCUUAAUCAAUUUUCUUGAGAUGAUUACGUUGGAUAUUACUUUUCCAUAACGUAAUUAGAAUACUUCAUGCUGCAUAUAAAGAAAUUUCAUCUCUUGUGUUGAAAUAGCAUUCAGUACUACAGUUGAUAGGACUAUAUAGAGUCAACAAAAUGCUAAGAAACUGCACAAAAGGCUUGAGAGAAUCCCAUUAGUGCGCUUAGCCUUAUUUGAUUCGAAAAGAUGCAUUCUUGUUCAAAAAUAUCAACCAAACCAAACUAUCAAUUGUAUCUAGUAUGUCAUGUAUUUCAAAAGUUUAUGAAGAAACUGAUAUGUAUACUUCAAGAACUGUGAUCCAGAAUCAUGAGUUUCUAAACGAAGAGAAUGAUCUGAGUACCCAAAUCGAUACUUACAAAUGAAUAUAUUUAGAAUUCUUGUUGCCUUUCUGCAUUAUUAUUACACGAUACAUACCUGGAUAAUCUAUGUACCAGAUGAAAAUUUGGACAAAUACACAAAUAAACCUGACUACACAAAUUUGUGUUUUAGGCUUUUAUUUUCCAUUCUGUUUUUCAGGUGUUCUAGUUUUAAGAACCAAAUUUGGCUUUGAUGUCAUCAAUAACACUUGCUUCAACUUGGAAGGCCUUAGUCAACACAUUAUUAGGAAUUGGUGGCAUAGAAGCAAAUAGUGUAGUUGGUAGAACCACUGACCCUGGCAAAUGACUGUUAAAAGCUGUGAUUGUCAUUGCCUUCUCCUUACCAACAUUCAUUUGGAAAUGCACGAGUCCUCGGGGCACCACGAACAUCUCUCCCACAGUCAAUACUUUGGCAUGUAACACGUUGUUUGUUGUCAGGAAUCCAACGUAGAGUUUCCCUUUAAUGACUACCCCGGUCUCAGUUGCACGAGGGUGUGAAUGAGGUGGAUUUAGCCCUCCUGGGGCGAAAUCAACUCGAUUCAUUGAGAGACCUAACGUGUUCAGCCCUGGGAAUGCAAGAACGUUUCCCACGGUUGCAGUGAAUCCAAAUACGUUGUCUGUGUUUCCCUCUUUGGUUAGGCCAUCAAAGA